rnacentral:rRNA from 1 species
CUACGGGUUGCUGCAGUGGGGAAUUUUGCGCAAUGGGGGAAACCCUGACGCAGCAACGCCGCGUGAAGGAUGAAGGCCUUUGGGUCGUAAACUUCUGUCAGAGGGGAAGAAAUGCCCGCAAGGGAGCUGACGGUACCCUCAAAGGAAGCACCGGCUAACUCCGUGCCAGCAGCCGCGGUAAUACGGAGGGUGCAAGCGUUGUUCGGAAUUAUUGGGCGUAAAGAGCAUGUAGGCGGACUGUUAAGUCUGGUGUGAAAGCCCGGGGCUCAACCCCGGAAGUGCAUUGGAUACUGGCAGUCUAGAGUAUGGGAGAGGAAAGUGGAAUUCCGAGUGUAGGAGUGAAAUCCGUAGAUAUUCGGAGGAACACCAGUGGCGAAGGCGGCUUUCUGGACCAAUACUGACGCUGAGAUGCGAAAGCGUGGGGAGCAAACAGGAUUAGAUACCCGUGUAGUC